rnacentral:rRNA from 1 species
UACGGGGGGAGCAAGCGUUGUUCGGAUUUACUGGGCGUAAAGGGCGCGUAGGCGGCCAGCACAAGUCAGUUGUGAAAUCUCCGAGCUUAACUCGGAAAGGUCAACUGAUACUGUGCGGCUAGAGUGCGGAAGGGGCAACUGGAAUUCUUGGUGUAGCGGUGAAAUGCGUAGAUAUCAAGAGGAACACCAAUGGCGAAGGCGAGUCCCUGGACGAUACCUGACACUGAGGCACGAAAGCCAAGGGAGCAAACAGG